AAAAGACGCGGCCAAUGGCUGCGAGCGCCAGAGGCCCGGGAGCAGGCGAGGUGCUGGGUGCUGGUCGGCUGUUGGAGCGUGGGUGGGAAUGGCAGCGGAGCCGGGAGAGCGGCGGCGCUCGGCGCCGGGUGGGUCGCGGCAGCCGGCUGCGGGGUUCGCCCUUUGUCUGCACCCUUCCAAAAUGGCUGCGGCCAGGGCGGGCGGCGACAGCUGCGCGAGCGCUCCCGGGGCCCCGGCGGUCAGUGAGGAGCUUGAGUCCUGGCACGAAGACGCUUUCGGGGCGGAGAGGUGCGCAGAGGACGCCGCGGACGCGACGGGUCAGCUCGCCUGACUUACAGCGGCCGAAAAACAAAUUCCAGAUGGUAAAGCUUCUUGAUGGGACCUCACUACAACUGACCCUCCCAGAAUCAUCGUCACUUCUGAAGAAAGACUUGCCACAGUCUGCACAGAUCUAGCACUGCAGAAUGAGGAAUCUGACAUUUGACAUUGUAAAUUUUUUUUCCCCUUUGGUGCCUUGAAAGAGACGAUUCCCACCAGCCCGUACUACCUAUACACACCAUCCCUGCACUUGAGAGAUGAAGGCAGGAGGAUGAGGAGUUCAGCCUUUGUUAUGUAUUUAGUUGGAGGCCAGCCUGGGGUCUGGUCAGACCCUGUAUCAAAAAGGUGAGGUGAGGACUCUUCUCUCAAAGCAGAGUAUAACUCUCAGCCUGUGUGCUGAUUCUAUCCCAGCCUUUUAAACUAAAUGAGUUAUAUAACUACUAUACAAACCCCACCCUACCCCAGCUGUUCUCUAAGCAAUAGUCUACCUAAGGAACUGUGCACAUCGAAGCCAGAAAAAAAAAAAAAAAAACGGUGCCCUCACUUGCAAAGUGUGCUUGCGAAUCCUUAAACAAUAGAAAUUUUGUACUUGAACAUUAGUCUCCAGGUUUGGGAAGUCAGUAAAAAGAGACAGUGAGGAAACAGGUUGGCUGGUACAAGCCAGUAUAGGCUUGACGUGAGGAACAGAAAUUCACGUUUGUAAAUAAAACCCAAGAGUCUUCUUUUGACGAAGGAGAACAAACUCAGGGUCAAGAACAUCCUUAGCGAGUGGGACACCACUUAGUGACAGCCCCCAGCCCCAAUAUGGAAUUUUUCACUCUUGAUGAUGAUUUGAAGAUUUUCAAGUGGACCAGAUAAUCAGCAAGUUCUUGCUAGUUCACUUAAUGCUGGUUAAUGGGAACUACCAGUUAGGUGUACAGCAGCCUGUACCCCGAAACCCUUAGGUGACAGGGAACAAAACAAUGGAACACCUAUAGCAAAGCCCAGGCUCUGGAGCUCACAGGCCCUCUGGUGACUGGGGACAAAGCCUUCUUUCAACCCUAAGCAUCUGUUGAUAACACUUACAGCCCCUGAACCACCAAGAGUUAAGUUACAGAUGUAGAGCUUAGGGUCUGUGCCCACCAACACCUUCAUUCCUUACUGCAGAGCCCAGUAUGGGAGCCACAGUUCAGGCAGCUGUUUUCAAGGACACUGCCCUUAAGACUGAAGUGGGCGGAGCCAAAAAGUCCUCCCCUCCUCAAAAUCUAUAUGCAAGGGCCAGUAGACACUAUUAGGGUCUUAACCUUUGUUACUCUGGAGACUAAAGGACAAAUUUUUUUUAACUGUCUCUCCCUUUGAUAGGGUGCCACAGGCCAUUAUGACUUCCGUAGUUUGAAGCUGAAAAUUCCAGAACUGGCAUUAAAAGAGAAAAGGACGAGUCAUUCAGUAUGAAGUAUAAAACACCUCAUUUUGUAGAAGCAGAGGACAACUUUUAGGAGUAGGUUCUGGCCAACAUAGGCUCAAGGGAUCAAAUUUAUAUUGGGCUAAUAUCACAAUUACUUUUGUCUGCUUAGUCAUCUCACCAGCUCCAUAAGAUGUUUGUUUAA